GCCCAGAUGUAUGAAUAGUAAGAUAAAUUUUUGAGCCAUUCAUACCAGCACUGACGUACCGAUCGAAGACCAUUAGAACAACGGUAGUCUCUUCUAAACAAGACUUAGUAUAAUAUAAUCAGACAACGAUCGUCCCUCCAAUCUUUCACAUAGCCUCAACCACAAGAUAUUUAAGCUUUGUGUCACACCUGAUCUGCAUUCUUUUUAUUUUCGUUUCUUCUCCAGGUAUAGGAACACCCAUGCAUGUACAUGACACGUAUAUACGGAUCAGGGUGUAUCUUUCACCAUUAAAACAUCUGCUGUUUGCUUUAAGAUAUGUGCAAAUAGAUGAAUGAUAAAGUUUGGAGAGCUUUACGAGCUGUGCGAUGGGUGAUCCAACUGUGACUUCGAGCGAUGGAAGGUGAAUAUACU
rnacentral:lncRNA from 1 species